rnacentral:rRNA from 1 species
AGUGAACGCUGGCGGUAGGCCUAACACAUGCAAGUCGAACGGCAGCACAGUGAGAGCUUGCUCUUACGGGUGGCGAGUGGCGGACGGGUGCGGAAUACAUCGGAAUCUACUUUUUCGUGGGGCUGACGUAGGGAAACUUUAGCUCAUACCGCCUGCGACCUACGGGUGAAAGCCUGCGGUCUUCGGACCUUGAGCUAAUGCAUGAGCCGAUGUCGGAGUAGCUAGUUGGCGGGGUAAAGGCCCACCAAGGCGACGAUCCGUAGCUGGUCUGAGAGGAUGAUCAGCCACACUGGAACUGAGACACGGUCCAGACUCCUACGGGAGGCAGCAGUGGGGAAUAUUGGACAAUGGGCGCAAGCCUGAUCCAGCCAUACCGCGUGGGUGAAGAAGGCCUUCGGGUUGUAAAGCCCUUUUGGUGGGAAAGAAAAGCAGCAGGUUAAUACCCCGCUGUUCUGACGGUACCCAAAGAAUAAGCACCGGCUAACUUCGUG